rnacentral:rRNA from 1 species
CCUACGGGGGGCUGCAGUCGAGAAUCUUCGGCAAUGGGCGCAAGUCUGACCGAGCGACGCCGCGUGCGGGAUGAAGGCCUUCGGGUUGUAAACCGCUGUCGUAGGGGAGGCCGAUCCUAGGAGGAAGGGCCGGCUAAUCUCGUGCCAGCAGCCGCGGUAAUACGAGAGGCCCAAACGUUAUUCGGAAUUACUGGGCUUAAAGAGUUCGUAGGCGGCGCAGAAAGUAGGGUGUGAAAGCCCUCGGCUCAACCGAGGAAUUGCGCUCUAAACUACUGUGCUUGAGGAAGCUAGAGGUGAGCGGAACUGAUGGUGGAGCGGUGAAAUGCGUUGAUAUCAUCAGGAACACCGGAGGCGAAGGCGGCUCACUGGGCUUUCUGACGCUGAGGAACGAAAGCCAGGGGAGCGAACGGGAUUAGAUACCCUUGUAGUC